UACAGAGACUGCAAGCGUUAUUCGGAUUCACUGGGCGUAAAGGGUGCGCAGGCGGCCGUGUGUGUGAGGCGUGAAAGCCCGGGGCUUAACCCCGGAAUUGCACCUCAAACUACUUGGCUAGAGCAUUGGAGAGGGUAGCAGAAUUCAUGGUGUAGCAGUGAAAUGCGUAGAUAUCAUGAGGAAUACCAGAGGCGAAGGCGGCUACCUGGACAAUUGCUGACGCUCAGGCACGAAAGCGUGGGGAGCAAAAGGG
rnacentral:rRNA from 1 species